rnacentral:rRNA from 1 species
AUUGAACGCUGGCGGCAUGCCUUACACAUGCAAGUCGAACGGCAGCACGGGGGCAACCCUGGUGGCGAGUGGCGAACGGGUGAGUAGUGCAUCGGAACGUGCCCAGUAGUGGGGGAUAACCAGUCGAAAGAUUGGCUAAUACCGCAUACGAUCUACGGGUGAAAGCGGGGGACCGUAAGGCCUCGCGCUAUUGGAGCGGCCGAUGUCUGAUUAGCUUGUUGGCGGGGUAAGAGCCCACCAAGGCGACGAUCAGUAGCUGGUCUGAGAGGACGACCAGCCACACUGGGACUGAGACACGGCCCAGACUCCUACGGGAGGCAGUAGUGGGGAAUUUUGGACAAUGGGCGCAAGCCUGAUCCAGCCAUGCCGCAUGCGGGAAGAAGGCCUUCGGGUUGUAGACCGCUUUUGGCAGGAACGAAACGGCGACCUCUAAUACGGGUCGUUAAUGACGGUACCUGCAGAAUAAGCACCGGCUAACUACGUGCCAGCCGCCGCAGUAACAC